CCCGGGGUGGGGGUGGGGGUGGGGGAGGGGAAAUUAAAAAAAAUUAAUAAUAAUUAAAGUGGGGGAGGGGGGAGGGGAGGAGAGCUGCCCGGUGGUAAGGGGGGGGAGGGCAAAAAGGGGAGGGGGGGGCAGCUCCUGGAACCAACCCCCCCCCCCCCAGGGGGGGGGGGGGGGGGCCCGGGGGGGGGGGGGGGAGGCCGGAAAGGUUGGGUGCCCCCUGAGGGGGGAGCGGGGCGAGGAGGUGGCCCCCGGAGGGGACCUGCCGGGGAGGAACAAAAAACAAAAAAAAAGAAAAAAGAAAAAAAAAAUCAAACAACAACAACAAAAAAAAACAGCAUUUGCUUGCUGGAGGGUGCCAGAUGGGUUGGAUUCGCGACAGGACUUAAGAUGGAGGUGGUUGGUGGGGCCGGUGCCAAAGCCGAGGACUUCUGCCCGGCUUUGGGGAUGCGCGGAGGUUCCGUGUGCUCCUCGCCGCGGCGUCGCGCUCGCCUCGGGAACUCAAUUACUUUCUUUUUCUGGCAGCGUUUCAUCUCUGUACGACUUCUUUUUUUGGGGGGGGGGGGGGGAUUUAGUUUGUACGCGAGACGAGCUCGAUUCAAAAUAAAGUUAUAUCCUGUCUGUGGUCUACCACCUUCUCCUCACCCCCAGCGAUCUGCCAUGUUUCACAGAACCUCUAUAGGUGGCUUUUUGAAAAAAAAACCUAAUCCGUUAUUAAUUUUCUAUCCCUUUCGCCACUUUUUUUUCUGUCUUUGUGAUAAGCGUGGUGAAAAGCUAGAGAGAGAAGAAGGAGCGUGCAUAGGAGCUGUGUGCGCUGGCAGUUGCUGUAGAGUUCAGCUGUUUGGACCAGAGAGAGAGAUUGCCUGCUUGUGGCCCUAAUAUCUUCAGCUUGAAUUUAAGGAGCCUGCUGAACCUGGAGAAACUGGCUCGUGUGUUGUCGCAGUUUCCCAAAGGCAGGUAGGGAAUUAAAAACAGUGGUGACUUUACUCAGCGGGUCACAGCCGCAUCUCUGUGAGCACUCCCGAGGGAACAGGAGACAACCCUCACGCGUUUCCCUGUAGGAGCCCAGCACUGUGGGAGGAGGAUUCGAAUCUUUUGUAAUGCCGAGACCCAUACAAACUGGGUUAAAAUCAUACAAAUUGAAUUAAAAAUGCCCACGUUUCAAAACUCCCGGCCUGCUCGCAUCCCCUGGCAUGCUCAUGGCCCCUUGAGGAACUGAGCAGUGUCCGUGGGCUACCACUGUAGUGUGAAAUAUCUCUGUGGCUCUCCUGCUUAGAGAAAAAGCACUUUGAGAAGAUGUAUGAAAAAUAUUUCCCUGGUCCAGCUUGUCAGUCGUGUCCUCCAUUCCUCGCACGACGCCAGGCUUCAAUCUCAUCUGCGUUUCUGGGCUGACUCAGAGCACCCAAUUUCACAACUUUGGUCUGCAACCAAAAAUAUCAGUGGACGUUGCAGCCAAAGAACAAUGAGGGAAGACACCCUAAAGAAUACCCCUUUGCUGACUAACUCCUUUUCUGCAGAGCAAGGUGGUGUGCGUGUUUUUGGAAACCUGACCAGUGCUGUUUCUUGCCCAGGUUUGAGAACUGAAGGCAUUUGUACCGUGUGCGCACAGGUAGGCUGGCUGUUGAGCAUCUGAGUCUUCAGAUGCCAGGGGUCACAGCAUAAAGAAUGUUGUAUUUUUACCUAAGCAACAUAAAUCACACCAACCAAGGCUGUUGACCCAUCUUAAGCCCAGGAGAGCGUACUCCUCUAGGAGUACUCUUCAGCAGGGUUAGAAGAGAGAGCUCCAAAGCUGGCAUUCAGAGAAAGACAAGAGUUCCCAUUGCAGGACAGAAUCCUCCCUGCCUGUUCACUUGAGUCGUUACUUUUAAUCAAAUAGGUC
rnacentral:lncRNA from 1 species